CCUGCCCCUAGAGGUGUUGCAGGUGUGGCUGCUGUGUGUCACACAUGCGAGUCAGUGGGUGACAGGAGAGAGGCCAUGUCUAAGUUCAGUGUCGGGACAUGUGAACAGCUGAAUGAUUAGUAGCCUGGCGCU